rnacentral:rRNA from 1 species
GCUCAGGACGAACGCUGGCGGCGUGCUUAACACAUGCAAGUCGAACGGUGAACGAGGGAGUUUGCUCCAUCCGGAUCAGUGGCGAACGGGUGAGUAACACGUGAGUAAUCUGCCACGAACUCUGGGAUAAGCGUUGGAACCGACGUCUAAUACCGGAUACGACGCGCGAAGGCAUCUUCUGCGCGUGGAACGAACUUCGGUUCGGGAUGAGUUCGCGGCCUAUCAGCUUGUUGGUGAGGUAAUGGCCAACCAAGGCGACCAGGAUUAGCCGGCCUGAGAGGGUGACCGGGGACCCUGGGACUGAGACACGGCCCAGACUCCUACGGGAGGCAGCAGUGGGGAAUAUUGCACAAUGGGCGCAAGCCUGAUGCAGCAACGCCGCGUGAGGGACGACGGCCUUCGGGUUGUAACCAUCUUUUAGUAGGGAAGAAGCGAACGUGACGGUACCUGCAGAACAAGCACCGGCUAACUACGUGCCAGCAGCCGCGGUAAUACGUAGGGUGCAAGCGUUGUCCGGAAUUAUUGGGCGUAACGAGUUCGUAGGCGGUUUGUCGCGUCUGCUGUGAACACCAGAGGCUCAACCUCGGGCCUGCAGUGGGUACGGGCAGACUAGAGUGCGGUAGGGGAGAAUGGAAUUCCUGGUGUAGCGGUGGAAUGCGCAGAUAUCAGGAGGAACACCGAUGGCGAAGGCAGUUCUCUGGGCCGUAACUGACGCUGAGGAGUGAACGCGUGGGGAGUGAACAGGAUUAGAUACCAUGGUAGUCCACGCCGUAACCGUUGGGCGCUAGAUGUGGGGA